CCUACGGGAGGCAGCAGUGAGGAAUAUUGGACAAUGGGCGCAAGCCUGAUCCAGCCAUGCCGCGUGCAGGAAGACGCAUCUAUGGUGUGUAAACUGCUUUUGUACAGGAAGAAACACUCCCUCGUGAGGGAGCUUGACGGUACUGUAAGAAUAAGGAUCGGCUAACUCCGUGCCAGCAGCCGCGGUAAUACGGAGGAUCCAAGCGUUAUCCGGAAUCAUUGGGUUUAAAGGGUCCGUAGGCGGUUUAAUAAGUCAGUGGUGAAAUCUGGUCGCUCAACGAUCAAACGGCCAUUGAUACUGUUAGACUUGAAUUAUAAGGAAGUAACUAGAAUAUGUAGUGUAGCGGUGAAAUGCUUAGAUAUUACAUGGAAUACCAAUUGCGAAGGCAGGUUACUACUUAUGGAUUGACGCUGAUGGACGAAAGCGUGGGGAGCGAACAGGAUUAGAUACCCUGGUAGUCCACGCCGUAAACGAUGGAUACUAGCUGUUGGGCGCAAGUUCAGUGGCUAAGCGAAAGUGAAUAGUACUCCGACGNGGUAAGGUAGUCGUUAGAGAGAGAAGAGAAGAGUUAGNGNGNGAGAGNGACGACGACGACGACGGAGGAGGAGG
rnacentral:rRNA from 1 species